rnacentral:rRNA from 1 species
GGCAGACGGGUGAGUAACAUGUAGGUAUCUACCCUUUGGCCUGGAAUAACACGAGGAAACUUGUGCUAAUACCGGAUAAGUCUUUACGGAGAAAGCUUUAUGCACCAUUGGAUGAGCCUGCAUUUGAUUAGUUUGUUGGUGGGGUAAUGGCCUACCAAGACUGUGAUCAAUAGCUGAUUUGAGAGGAUGAUCAGCCACAUUGGGACUGAGACACGGCCCAAACUCCUACGGGAGGCAGCAGUGGGGAAUCUUGCACAAUGGAGGAAACUCUGAUGCAGCGAUGCCGCGUGAGUGAAGAAGGCCCUUGGGUUGUAAAGCUCUUUCGUCGGGGAAGAAAAUGACUGUACCCGAAUAAGAAGGUCCGGCUAACUUCGUGCCAGCAGCCGCGGUAAUACGAAGGGACCUAGCGUAGUUCGGAAUUACUGGGCUUAAAGAGUUCGUAGGUGGUUGAAAAAGUUAGUGGUGAAAUCCCAGAGCUUAACUCUGGAACUGCCAUUAAAACUUUUCAGCUAGAGUAUGAUAGAGGAAAGCAGAAUUUCUAGUGUAGAGGUGAAAUUCGUAGAUAUUAGAAAGAAUACCAAUUGCGAAGGCAGCUUUCUGGAUCAUUACUGACACUGAGGAACGAAAGCAUGGGUAGCGAAGAGGAUUAGAUACCCUCGUAGUCCAUGCCGUAAACGAUGUGUGUUAGACGUUGGAAAUUUAUUUUCAGUGUCGCAGCGAAGGCGAUAAACACAC